UACGAAGGGGGCUAGCGUUGCUCGGAAUCACUGGGCGUAAAGGGUGCGUAGGCGGGUCUUUUAAGUCAGGGGUGAAAUCCUGGAGCUCAACUCCAGAACUGCCUUUGAUACUGAAGAUCUUGAGUUCGGGAGAGGUGAGUGGAACUGCGGAGUGUAGAGGUGAAAUUCGUAGAUAUUCGCAAGAACACCAGUGGCGAAGGCGGCUCACUGGCCCGAUACUGACGCUGAGGCACGAAAGCGUGGGGAGCAAACAGG
rnacentral:rRNA from 1 species